AACGAACGCUGGCGGCAUGCCUAACACAUGCAAGUCGAACGAGACCUUCGGGGCUAGUGGCGCACGGGUUCGUAACGCGUGGGAACCUGCCCUUAGGUUCUGAAUAACUCCCCGAAAGGGGUGCUAAUACCGGAUAAUGUCUUCGGACCAAAGAUUUAUCGCCUUUGGAUGGGCCCGCGUUGGAUUAGCUAGUUGUUAGGGUAACAGCCUACCAAGGCGACGAUCCAUAGCUGGUCUGAGAGGAUGAUCAGCCACACUGGGACUGAGACACGGCCCAGACUCCUACGGGAGGCAGCAGUGGGGAAUAUUGGACAAUGGGCGAAAGCCUGAUCCAGCAAUGCCGCGUGAGUGAUGAAGGCCUUAGGGUUGUAAAGCUCUUUUACCCGGGAUGAUAAUGACAGUACCGGGAGAAUAAGCCCCGGCUAACUCCGUG
rnacentral:rRNA from 1 species